GGAUUCCCCUAGUAACGGCGAGUGAAGCGGGAAGAGCUCAAAUUUGAAAUCUGGCGGUCUCAGGCCGUCCGAGUUGUAAUCUAGAGAGGUGUUUUCCGUGCCGGACCGUGUACAAGUCCCUUGGAACAGGGCGUCAUAGAGGGUGAGAAUCCCGUCCAUGACACGGACUACCGGUGCUCUGUGAUACACCUUCAAAGAGUCGAGUUGUUUGGGAAUGCAGCUCAAAAUGGGUGGUAAAUUCCAUCUAAAGCUAAAUACAGGCGAGAGACCGAUAGCGAACAAGUACCGUGAGGGAAAGAUGAAAAGAACUUUGGAAAGAGAGUUAAACAGUACGUGAAAUUGUUGAAAGGGAAACGCUUGAAGUCAGUCGCGUCUGCCAGGACUCAGCCUUGCUUCUGCUUGGUGCAUUUCUUGGUGGAUGGGCCAGCAUCGAUUUUGAUUGCCGGAAAAGGACGGGAGGAAUGUGGCAGCUUUUGCUGUGUUAUAGCCUUCUGUUGUACACGGUGGUUGGGAUCGAGGACUGCAGCACGCCUUUGGUCGGGGUUCGCCCACGCCACGUGCUUAGGAUGCUGGCGUAAUGGCUUUAAACGACCCGUCUUG
rnacentral:rRNA from 1 species